CCUCUCGUUCGUCUCCUGCAGAUCCAUCAUAGCCAUGUAUCUCUGCAAGGGAACCUGAUAGUGCCUUAGCGUGUGCAUCAUCUUCUUCACCUGAAGAUCUUGCGAGAUAACAGUGGGAGGAAGCAGCCCGCGGAGGUAGUGAGCGUCGCGCUCCCUCUGGCUAAAGGCGAGGCCUUUGUUGUGAUGCGGAUCGCGCAGCAGAGUGUACGCUCUCCUUUGGCGGAGCCCAAUGUAGAACUCAUCAUUCAACAGCUUCUCAUUGUUUGUCCCAACAUCAAUUGUUACAGGCAGACACUAGCAAACGACCAAAAUAUAUAUAUAGAAUGAGACUAUGAGAGAAUGUGGUUGAAUGAGAAUAGAGCUGAUUCUUACCGCAGAUGGACGAACACCUCCAAGGGCUGUAUAUAGAGAAAGUUUCCCAACUGGUAUUCCCAUUCCCUGAAGAAAUUAAUGAUACAUAGUAAGAAAAUAAAUCUAGACACACCAUUGUCUUUUUAAAGAUGGUUUAUUAUGCUAUUACAAACUAGGAGAAAUGUUAUAUAGACAAAACACGAAAGAAUCCAAAUCAAACAAACUUGCCUGACAACCAAGAUCCCCUAAACCUAAAAUGCGCUCCCCAUCGGUGACAACAAUGACCUGGAUAUUCUUCUCAGGCCAAUUCCUCAGCACUUCAAGAAUCUUACCUCUAUUAAAGAUUAAAAAUGAGUCCAAGAAAAAAUGCUUAAAAAAACAAUGUUCCAAAUUUGCUUAGGCGGCGGGGCCUAUUCAGUUAUGAUCAAAACAAUUUUUUUUGGUGUCAGCGGAGCAUAGACACUAAUCUUCUAUAAAAAAGAGAGACUCACUUUUCUUUCAAGCUGAUGAAAAGCCCCUGCGGACGCAAGAAAAUGCUUCCAUACUUCUGGCAAGCUUCACCAACGGUAGGAGUAUAAACAACAGGCAGCAACUCUUCAACAUGCUCGAUAAGAAGCUUGUAAAACAGCCUCUCGUUCGUCUCCUGCAGAUCCAUCAUAGCCAUGUAUCUCUGCAAGGGAACCUGAUAGUGCCUUAGCGUGUGCAUCAUCUUCUUCACCUGAAGAUCUUGCGAGAUAACAGUGGGAGGAAGCAGCCCGCGGAGGUAGUGAGCGUCGCGCUCCCUCUGGCUAAAGGCGAGGCCUUUGUUGUGAUGCGGAUCGCGCAGCAGAGUGUAGCCGCUCGCGACGGAGAGAGACCAGGGGGUGAUGGGCAUGUCCUCCGUGGCGGCGUCUUCCCCGUAGACAUCCUG
rnacentral:lncRNA from 1 species